GAUGAACGCUGGCGGCGUGCCUAAUACAUGCAAGUCGAGCGAACGGACGAGAAGCUUGCUUCUCUGAUGUUAGCGGCGGACGGGUGAGUAACACGUGGAUAACCUACCUAUAAGACUGGGAUAACUUCGGGAAACCGGAGCUAAUACCGGAUAAUAUUUUGAACCGCAUGGUUCAAAAGUGAAAGACGGUCUUGCUGUCACUUAUAGAUGGAUCCGCGCUGCAUUAGCUAGUUGGUAAGGUAACGGCUUACCAAGGCAACGAUGCAUAGCCGACCUGAGAGGGUGAUCGGCCACACUGGAACGGAGACACGGUCCGGACUCCUACGGGAGGCGGCAGUAGGGAAUCUUCCGCAAUGGGCGAAAGCCUGACGGAGCAACGCCGCGUGAGUGAUGAAGGUCUUCGGAUCGUAAAACUCUGUUAUUAGGGAAGAACAUAUGUGUAAGUAACUGUGCACAUCUUGACGGUACCUAAUCAGAAAGCCACGGCUAACUACGUG
rnacentral:rRNA from 1 species